rnacentral:lncRNA from 1 species
UCUCACAUCUAACUGUGUUUCCCUAGACAAGUACAGACAAUCACCAGGAACUAAGGAACAAGAAGCAUCCAACCCUGCAUCUGUGGGUUUCCUGAGGUGACUCUCAAUUGUCAUAGGGGUGAAGAGUGAGUGAGGAAACCCUUGGAGCACUUGUUUGCUUCACAGACAUCCUGACCUCCUUUCAACUGUAAAGACUUAGUCAGAGGACGGCGGCUCCCUCAGCCUCAUUCUGCAGUUCCAAUGACACUUUUUACAAAGGCUCU